GACGAACGCUGGCGGCGUGCUUAACACAUGCAAGUCGAACGGAAAGACCCUACUUUUGUGGGGUUCUGGAUUGAGGAAGGCGUAAGUGACACGUGAGUAACCUACUCUUGUCUUUGGGAUGACUUCAGGUAGCUGAGGCUAAUACAAGAUAGUAACUCCUGUUGCAUGGUGGGGGUUGGAACGUCUCGGCGGUUGGGGUUGGACUGGCGGCUUAUUAGUUUGUUAGUGGGGUAGUGGCUUCCCAAGGCUUUGACGGGUAGACGGCAUGAGAGGGGGACCGGCCACAGUGGGACUAAGAGACGGCCCAGAGUCCUACGGGGGGCAGCAGUGGGGAAUAUGGCACAAUGGGCCGAAGCCGGAUGAAGAAACGCUGCGGUCGGGAUGACGGCCUGCUGGGUGUAAACAGCAUUCGCCUGUGACGAAGCGGGAGUGACGGUAAUGGGUAAAGAAGCACCGGCUAACUACGUG
rnacentral:rRNA from 1 species